GACGAACGCUGGCGGCGUGCUUAACACGUGCAAGUCGAACGAAGAGCGAUGGAAGCUUGCUUCUAUCAAUCUUAGUGGCGAACGGGUGAGUAACGCGUAAUCAACCUGCCCUUCAGAGGGGGACAACAGUUGGAAACGACUGCUAAUACCGCAUACGAUCUAAUCUCGGCAUCGAGGAAAGAUGAAAGGUGGCCUCUAUUUAUAAGCUAUCACUGAAGGAGGGGAUUGCGUCUGAUUAGCUAGUUGGAGGGGUAACGGCCCACCAAGGCGAUGAUCAGUAGCCGGUCUGAGAGGAUGAACGGCCACAUUGGGACUGAGACACGGCCCAGACUCCUACGGGAGGCAGCAGUGGGGAAUCUUCCGCAAUGGACGAAAGUCUGACGGAGCAACGCCGCGUGAGUGAUGACGGCCUUCGGGUUGUAAAGCUCUGUUAAUCGGGACGAAAGGCCUUCUUGCGAACAGUUAGAAGGAUUGACGGUACCGGAAUAGAAAGCCACGGCUAACUACGUG
rnacentral:rRNA from 1 species